rnacentral:misc_RNA from 1 species
CAUCAAUUUCGGUUCGGUUCGGUUCGAACUGAAUGCUCACCCCUACUUUUGAUAGAAAUAAAUUUAUACUAUUACAUGGUUUUUAGCCUUUUACCCCAUGCAAGGGGUCUUGAACUCUUAUGUAACCCAUUUUAUUCUAAUUUUCAGCUUAUGUUUUCAAGCUUUACUUUAUUUUUUUUCUUUUGGCCAUGUUUGAGCUCUUUUUGCUUGCUUUUUCCUUUUGAAAUUUCUUUGGAUCCAUUCAUGGCUUGUUUUAUAUUUUCCUGCUCAAAAGAAUAAAAUAUUAAAGCAAAAAGAAUAAUAUCAAAAUUUUAAGACCCAAAAUUAAUAAAACUCAUUUGAGAUUUCGGAUAUCAAGUUUGGGACUUCAAUCCCAAUAUCUCCCAUUCGAUCUUCUAAUGUUAUCAAAAGACAAACAUAAAACUUAUGUAUAACAAAAUAAUUAAAUUUAGUAUGCAAUAAGAUUUUAAGAAACUAAAAAAUAAGAAUCACAAUGUAUAGGCUACUACUUGUGUUCACAUCUAAAAAUGCCUAAAACUUUUUGAAAAGUUUCAAAUUUUACCAUAGUCUAGUUAACACUUCAUAUUACAAAAUAGAAAAAUAAAUCAUUCACAAAUAUGAAUGGGUAUAUCUUUCGAUCAAUAAGCUAAAUGAAAUUAACAUGCCAUAUGUGUACACAUGCGAAAACAUAACCCAUCAACCAAUUAAAUUUAUAUGCAUAAAAUAAAAUAAAGCUAAAGACUUUGAAUUGAGGCUGACAUCCUAACAAACAAUUUAAAUGCAUAGGUAUAUCUUCAGAUCAAUAAGCCAAACGAAAUUAAUAUGCCAUAUAUAGUACACAUCUUAACAAACAAUUUUAAAGGGUAAAUUUUAAUAACUGUCCUUGAACUUAUAUAGUUGUAACACUAUAGUCCUUUAACUGUAAAAUGUAACAUAAAACCCCCU